rnacentral:rRNA from 1 species
GUCCAGACUCCUACGGGAGGCAGCAGUGGGGGAUAUUGCACAAUGGGGGAAACCCUGAUGCAGCGACGCCGCGUGAGUGAAGAAGUAUUUCGGUAUGUAAAGCUCUAUCAGCAGGGAAGAUAAUGACGGUACCUGAGUAAGAAGCCCCGGCUAACUACGUGCCAGCAGCCGCGGUAAUACGUAGGGGGCAAGCGUUAUCCGGAUUUACUGGGUGUAAAGGGAGCGUAGACGGCAUGGCAAGUCUGAAGUGAAAGCCCGGGGCUCAACCGCGGGACUGCUUUGGAAACUGUUAAGCUGGAGUGCAGGAGAGGUAAGUGGAAUUCCUAGUGUAGCGGUGAAAUGCGUAGAUAUUAGGAGGAACACCAGUGGCGAAGGCGGCUUACUGGACUGUAACUGACGUUGAGGCUCGAAAGCGUGGGGAGCAAACAGGAUUAGAUACCCUAGUAA